ensembl:lncRNA
GUGUUAUCUUUCUGCUCAGAUGUGUCCCUUUGCCCCUUUCAGGUGCAACAGCAAAUCCAUCUGGAUUUUCAGGGACUCAGCAACAACUGCUCCCCAGCCCCGCGCUCACCGCUCACAAUGCAGGGAAUGCAGGGUCAUGGGGCUGAGGGAGCAAGGAGGAAUACUGCACAUACCUCCAUGGCGCAUCUUGCAUGACUUCCAUGGGCCUUACGCCAAAUUAUUUGCACUUUGUUCCUCCCUGUUGCAAUACCAUGAAAAAAAGCCAGGUAUUUCCAAGUCCUCCUUUAUCUCCAGAAGUCUGGGGACACCUCGGUACAGCUCCUGACAGCCCACAGACAACAGCUUUUCCUGCAGUUGAACGCUAGGACCAAAUAGAACACCUGGAAGGAUACAAAAGCUUUUAAGCACCAUCAUUUUCUAGCAGUUAUAAUUUCACACACAUUUAUCCACAGACAAUUUUGAAAAACAUGAAAAGUGGCAAGGAAGCAAAUGAUACUGCUGCCUUUCAGAAGGACACACAGAUCAGGAGUCGUAUUGCAACCAGUUGCCAGAAGGACUGUAGCAUUGCUUAUUUAUUUUGCGUGGCAAAGGCCUACAGAGCAGCGUAGCCUCUGUUCUGGGGGCAGCAGCAUGUGCUCUGCAAACUCUAACAUCUGAAUGUGCUUCCUUUUCAGGCUUUACAUCUGGAAGUUGGAUAUCUUGAGUUUCUAUAGAAACAUGUUGGUGGGGUAACUUUAACUGGUACACUUAAUCUUCUCUGGCUAGUUUUGUUUUACUUCCCCACCCUUGAAGUUCAAUAUCUGGAAGACAAAACAGAAGAAAAAGGUUGACUGCUAAUCCAUUAGCUGUAGAGCUUGCUGACAAUGACACCUUUCGUUAGAACCAGCUUCCUGCACAGAAUAAGAUUAAGUCCAACCUUGUUUUGUUAUUUGCCUUCCCUUGAAAAUCAUUGUAGAUGCACUUCAGGUAGCAAAUGCAAUAAAAUCUAGAAAAAUAACUUUAUAAUCAGAACAGGUCACAUUAAAAACAGAAUCAAUUUCAGCAACUGAUGUAAGAGGUGAAUUAUAGGCUGCCAAGUGCAGGAAACGCACUGCCUUCUUAGUAUGGAUAAAACCAAGGGCAAAUCUUUACUCAUACUGCCACAAACUGAUGGACAGGGUACAACACGUAAUAGACUAUGCCAAUAUCUCUGUUCAGUAUAUAUAAUCAAUUUUCUUCAAUACUGAAAUUUCUAAGUUUGAUUCCACAUAUGUAUAGGAAGACAUCUGGUUUUCCAGCUCGAGGUCAACACAAAGGACCAGAAUUCCCACUUUGUCAAUCUGUGUAAAUUUAUGUACACCAGUAAAGUUCCAUCAACUUUAAACUAAGUGAUCUGCCCAAAGGACCUUUUAGUCUACAUGGCAUAUGAUUGAGAUGCGUCCUCACAAAGACAAAGAGUUGGAAACAAACUGUUUUCUGAAACAAAAAAUGGAUACUAUCAUUGUUUAUAGCUUGUCCCAUUCAUUUAAUUGCUGAUUAGGAGUUGCAAGCACAGCUGUAUAUGUUUUCCAGUGUUAUGGUAAGACCCACCCUUCAGAUAUCCUGUAAGAAACAGAAAUAUCAAUGUGUGGUACUGUUAGGUAUAGAGACAUUUGGAGAACAUGCCCAUGCUUUCUUCUCCCACUCCUUGGGUACUUUGGAGAGAAACUGAGACUUAGGAAUUACCAAUUUGUAUCAAUCAGUUCCAUUUGUUUAGGAAAUGGAUAUCAAGACACUGAAAAUGGGACCAGCGUCUUUUUAAUAGUUUCAUCCUUCUCCAAUUGCCUACAGAGGGGUUGAGAACUACAGAAAAAGAAGUCGUGAAAAACACUUGGAAAAAUGUGUCUUAAAUACCCAAACCUACAAAGCUUCACAUUCAAGUUUCAUUUUGAGCACAUGAUCCAUCCUAUGGAGCUCAGCACCCCCAGUGCCCAGUGUGUGAGACCUUGUACAGGUUUCUGGGAAUUAACACUACUUACAGAAUCACAGAAUCAUAGAAUGGUUUGGGUUGGAAGGGACCUUUGAGAUCAUCCAGUUCCAGCCCCACGCUAUAGGCAGGGACACCUCCCUCUAGGCCAGGUAACUUGUCCCAAAGCAUCUCACUGUAAGUAGACUAGGCAAAAGAUUAGGAUAAAACAGGUUUCUCUUCACUCAUCUUAUUUCCAAACACUGCACAGAAACACUUUGGAUGGUUUGUGUUCCCAUUGAUUUGGGUUAGAUAAAUGUACAUCUGUUAUCUAAAAUUUAUGCUGCAAAAUUUUAUACCCCAAAAGAUGUUCUGAUACCAUUAAGGGAAGAUAAUGACCUUCAGAAGCCUCCUCAGUCUUAACUGACUGCUCAGAUCCAAGGUUAGCAGAGGACUCACACCUCAAUUUACUAUUUUGGAUGUUUUUAAACUCUUGAAUUUUUGAGUAACACAGUUUUACAGUGAUAAUUACAAGAUUCUAUUUAUGUUGGAAGUGUGAUCACUUCUCAGCUUAGCACAAGCAUACACAUAAUAGACAAUGCUUUAUUCUUUGCAAAUAAAUUAUCAGGCUUUAUGGUGAUGACAACAAUCUCAGUCAAAAGUAGAGAAUGAAUCCAGAACCACUGAUGCUGCAUUUUAUUUAUUUUGGGCUACCUCACCAGCACCAAUUGUUACUUCUCCAACAGAACAUGCUUUUAUCAGUAUUUUGACCCAGGAUCUUCAUCCUGUACAAGGUCAAAGUCUUGUCCUGGACACCUGCCCCAAAUUAGGUCACACAAAGGAAUCCAGCAUCUGUGUGAUAGUCCAGGUCACACUGCUAUUUGUGGAAUAGAUAUUAGUACAGUCUUUGUAAGUGCAUGAUAUAUGAACUGUAUGUAUUUCCUUGAUAAAUUGUUUUUAAAUAUUUCCUCCUUUUUAUUAAUUGAAGAGGAAACCCAUGCAUCAAUGACAUUUUUAUGCUGGUUUACACAUAAAUUAUUUCCCUGUGAUGUUCAUUUUUAUUAUUAUUGCCGAUAUUAUAGCAAGUGCUUUUUUUUUUUUUUUUUUUUUUUGCCUUGUAAACAAGAUUUUGCUUACAGCUAAAUGAAAAGAAGCGAAGUUAAUCACGUUGAAAUAAUAGGUUUAAAAAGGUAAUUCCGUAAUGUUUGGCUGAUGUUUAAUCUUCCCCAAUACAAGCCAUGCUGGGAGAAAUGACAGAAAUUCUGUUUUUGUAAUUAAGCAGUAUUCAUCACUUCAGCAGGGCAGCUGAAGGAGAGCUGAAAAGCAGCAGUGAGUGCCCACUCCUGGCAAACCUUUACAGGUAGGGAUUUCAAGGGUUGAAGUACUGGCUUUCAGAGUGAGAGCUUGAUAUUGAGAGGUUCUUCUCUACACUUCCACAAGGGAAUGAAGUUCACUUUGAUCCUAUUAGGAAGGAUGGGCACCAUCAGACCUUCCUAAGAACAAUACCCACCUCUCAAAGGACUCCAGACUUUCCUUUUUGGCCUGCAGUACCUGCGGAUUCUACACGUCCUUAGGCACCUCCUGAGGUACAACAGCAGCUCUGGUUAUAAGGCCAUAUUCAAGCACAUCUUGCAGUGCUGGAGUAUAUCCCUUGUUAGGUUGUCCAUUAUCUACACUUCACAUUUCCUGAUCCACUUAAUGAUUUUUUCAAAGUGGGCUCCUACCUUAAAUUCCUCUCACUGGAAGUUUAUUUGAGCUUGACCCUGCGGUCCUAAGGGGAGAAGCACCCUGCAUUUAUUUAUGCUAGUUUUUACCAGACUGUUUUGAAUAUGGCGUGUUUUGAACUUGGUAAUAUAGGUAAUUAUUGCUGUUAUAGCUUAACUGAUAAUAUAGAAACUUUUAAGAAAAAUAGCUUUCAAACAGCACCUGGGGAAAGUGUAGGUCAGCUGAGGGGAAUGGUCCUUGGGAAACCAGCUUAUCUACUUUUGAGUGAGAAAGUCUUGUCAGAAUCACACUGGUAGUAAUUGCAUCAAGACAGAGCGAUAUCCAUUCCCAGUCUGAUCCCUCGCCAACCCCACUGAAUCCAUCAUCUCUGGUUUCAGGUCUGACUGCUCUUCCCUUUCACUUCUGAAAGAAAUCUAGCAAGGGACAGGAUGAGGAAUCCAAAGUUCACUGGGACCAGAAGAAGAACCAGGGGGCUUUGAAGACGUUCCACCUCUGAGUCCCCCGCCAUAAGGCAGCUGCACGCUCUUUCCAUGCUUGAACAAGCACAUAGUUCCCAGCCUCUCAGAAGCACAGUAGUUUUAUGCAUUUGUCUUUACAUUUUUUUUUCUGCUUGGCAGCUGAAUGGGCAAUUUGCAGCUCCCCAUGAAGAGCAAGCCCAGUGGGCAAAUGGCAUUUAGUUUGUGAGCUUUGCAUGAAAGUUACAUUUCCUUUUUCCCCUCUGUAGUUCAAACCUCCGGCAAACUUCCCCCUGCAGCUCUGGAAAAUAUAAACAAUCCCUUUGCUGUUAGAAACCAGCAUGUUCAAGCUUUGAUUUGUGAUUUUCUAGGGAAGAAAAGUAUCAUCCUUCAGUGAGAAGAUCUGCAUGCCGGAGUCACAGAAGUAGGUCAGUCUCAAACAGCAUCUAAUUAGGCAGAUUUCUAUUGUUUAGCCAAGCAGAUGCAUCCAUCACCGAACAUUAGAUGGUGCACCAGCCAGUAACAACAGCUACCAACUCCUUAAGAUGCAGACAUAAGAAACCUCCUUUGCUUACUGGCUGGGGCUUUGACCCAUGCAGUAACAAUCCUUCCAAGGUAUCAGUAAGAAAAUGAACCAAGUAGCUGUGCUUGUGUUACGUCAGUGGUUCCCCACCUUCGAGAUCACAACACUCAGCAAUGGAAGGAAAGAAAUCAAAAUGUUUGAUUCUUUUCCCAGGCAGGUUUUCAUUCUCUCUCACCCACUUUAAGGUCAGCUUGACUUUUUCUCAAGGAAUUUUUAAAAAUAAUCAGGCAUAAAGUACAUUUGAUGGAACAGGGGGGUCUCUUCCAAUGGUGCUCUUUGAGCGCCUGAUUUGUCAGACCCUGUACACCCUGUGGCUGAAGGUGUCAGCCACAGUAACUCCAGCAGCAAAGGAAGGCAGUUAUCUGCCUCUACACAGACUUUUCCUCAGGCUGUGCUGCAGCCAAAUCUGUCUAGUGCCCUUCUUUUGCUGGGAAACAGACAAGAGCACAUCAACUCACUGCAAACACCAACAUCUAGUAGCACGUCUACCUGAGUUCAUGGAUAAACAAGUCAUUUCUAUGGUCCCAAUGGUAAAAAUAACAGUUUCUAUUUCAAUCUGUUAUGAUUUCCCAUCAUUUUGAAUGAUUGGCUUCAGUUUCCAAGUCUCAUGAGUCUUUCUGAAGCUUGGAUAUUUUAUACUCAGAAAUCCAUGCAGUUAAAGUAAGGAUGAUCCCCUGUGAGCUAUCUAUUUGUUAUUAAUCUGAUCAGGGUUUUGCAGGAUGCACCAGCUUGGCUAAACAACAAGACACCACAGUGUGCCUUGGGAAAGGUGCUCUCAACAGAGUGGAGAGUUUAAGCCGUAGAAAACUACAGUUUUCUAACACACAACAGACCCUUUUCAAAUCAAAUACUUUUUUUUUUUUCCAACUCAAAUGCUUUGUAAUAUUAUUUUUUUUGCUGAAAAGACUGAUUCUUCUGUUCUCAUAAAAACUAAAAGGCAAAGCUUUGCUUUUCUAAUCAGCUCUCCUUUAAGGGUUCAAUGGGACUGACUGAGCAGAGUGCCCGCAGUCACUGUCCUUAUCAAAAACUAUCAGCAUCAGCCCAAUAACCUGUUUGAGAAUUACCUGAACUCAGUGUAUAAAGGGAUAUACAGGCAUAUAUAUAUACAGAAAACAGAGUGCCAUGCAUUACUAAGUUUUUACAAGGUUAUGAAGAUGUUUUUAUUGAGAAACGUUUGCAAGUUUCAGAUGGCUGGCAGAUGUGUUAAAGAACAUAUGAUUCAAAUAGAAAACCUUUCUUUUUAUUGCCGAAACACUAAUAAGAGUGCACUUUAAUAUGCCUUAAUGUGUUACUCCUUAAUUGACAGCAGAUGUUUCCUGAACAGCGUUUUUAAAAGACGUGCCGCACUUCAAAACAAGAAGAAAUAAAGCCUUACUGUACAUACAAGAGCUUCCAAAAACAACGCCUCCCCUUGCCAAUAAUUGUUUAUAAAAACAGCGUUCCAGAUUAUUUGAAAAUCAAUAUUAAGUCCCAUGGAACAUGUCAGAGUAAAUCUGAUGUUAUUUCAACAGAACCUUAACACAGUCGGUGUUCAAGGGCUCCUUUUGCUUUCCCUCCAGCCUCCAAAAUGGGAAACAUCACAUAGCCCUCAGUGCUUGAUCAGAAGGGAACGGGAUAAAAAAGGUCAUCUAAAAGAGAAACCAAGUGCCCAUGUACUUGGACAGACAGAGACAGCUCCCAGCAGAACCAGCUACACCUCUGAAAUCUUAUCUGAGGUGCAGCAGUAUGAUUUUUAGUGCUUACAUGGACGAUAUUGCAAGCGUUAGAGCCUCCUCAUCCCCCUUCUGCUGGAAUGAGCUCAGUGAAAUAAGAGUGGUCCUUCCAUGUGCUGAUUUGAUUUGGAAUUUAAUUCCUGUAAUGGCAUCAAAUAAAAAAUAUUCAGCAGCAGGAGUUACACAUGCAAAUUAAGAAGAAAAACAUGGAAUUUUAUUAUCUACAGUAAAGGAGAGAGAUAAAUAUAAUCAAACUAUUGAUGGGUAAAGAUCAGAGGAAGAUUAUCUUUUGUAAGCACAGAAGACCUGCUGAUGUCCAGGGAAAAUCAGAGGUAGAGAACGCAGCCCUCUGCUCCCCACACUCACCCAGGAGCAGCCCCACAACUCCCCAUCUCUGCACACCAUGAUGUGUGCAGGGCCCCAAUGAGCCCGUUUGAUGUGUUUGUAAUUGUAACACACUGAGCUCCCCAAAGCAUGCUGUGAGCUGCGACUUGUAGUAACAAAUGACAGAAUCCUUAAAUACAGCCAAGCUGUGGUCAGUGUUUAUUUAUUUUUAUUAUGUAAACAGCCCAUGCUUUGGGUUAUUAGAGUUUAGCAUUAAAAGCACUUGAUCAUUUAAACUGACUUGAUGUUAUCAGACCUUUUUUUAAUCCUUGUUAAAAUACUAAGUAAUUGACAGUGCUUUUUGUUAUCCGGGUUAUAAAAUACAAAUCAUUAGGGCAAUAAAUAUUAUUCAUUUAGAACUGAUGCAAACCAAAUGUUUUCUUCCUUAAAAUACUCAUAAAAGUGAAGUUUUAUCUUCCAUCUGGCAAUGCCUCUUAUGCCAAAAUGUUCUGAGUGGAAUUGCAUUAAUAAGAAGACAUCAAGAGAAAUAUGUUACUUGUAUCCUUUAAUAUGCCUUUGUAAACUGAGAUACACGUUGGCCUUCUAUCAAUAAGCAUCUCUACCUGUGGGUUUUGAGAAGGAUUAAUAGAGAAGAACCAUUACAGGAUGAAAGGAUCGAGCAUGCUGGGAGAAAAAUGAAAAUCAAACAUCCACCAAUGCAAACACUUCCUUCCAGGAUAAUAUUUAGGUUUUAUUUUAUUUUCUUAAUUUAAAUAUAUAUAUAUAUAUAUAAAUAAAACGUUUAAGCUCAUUUUAGAUAGCGCACAUCUGCACUGCAAUAAGGCAGUUUUCAAAAGUGCAGCUCUCAGUGGGAUAUUUAUUUAAUUCGUAUUGGUUUUGGACCUCAGCCUAUAAUGAGAAAAGAUAUGGGCACAUGCUAGAGGUGGUGGCUGCGACUUGGACUUUUUUGAACAUUAAAGCAGAAAAAGCCUUUGCUUGUAGGGAGGGUUUAGUGAAAAUUCAAUAACUUUUGCUUCAGACCCUGUGCUUCAGAGCACCAAUAAAGACAAGAGAGAACCGACACAGACACUGAAUUCACAACAGAGCUCCUGGAAAAUGCCAACCAAUUCUGGCAGGAAUUUUCCAACAUUUCUCUCCUCAGAUACUUUUCACUUUUCUGAUCAACUCUGAUUUCAAAACCAAUUUCAACCCAGCUCACGUUAUUCACAUGCAACGUGUUCAGGCACAGUCUCUGCAGAUGCGUCCGGCUCCCCACCUCCAUUUCUCCAUUUCAUUGGUAAAUGACCUCCCCGAACUGAACUAAAAGUAGCCCAUUGCAUGCACAUUGCAGGUUUUGCACCAAAUUUGUCCAUUUUGAGAGAGUUUUAGCACAGAGAAGAAAGCAGAAGGCUUUUCCCAUGUGGCUGGGGGGCCAGUGGGCAAUGCUGGGGGCAGCGGAGGGUUGCUGCAUCAGUCCUGCGCUCAUGUGGGUCAAAACCAGAAGUGAAAUGGGGAAGCGUUCCCUGGCCACAGACUGUACAUCCUCUGGCACUGUUGUGAAUUUUGCUCCAUCCCAGGGCCAUUUUGCUCCAUCUUAGGGCCCAAUUCAAUGACUACAAUUGAUUUUUUGGUACUUCAGUGGCUUUGCAUGGAAACCAGAGGAAUCAUUUUUUAUUGAAUACAACCUUUAGAGCACUAGCUCACCAGUUUUCUUCAAUACACUCUAAUAAAGUAAUACCAACAUUUCCCAGCUCUCCAUAACUUCAUUAUUCUGUGCCUCUUUGGGACACUAGAAUCUCUUACCCUGACUCUUUCAUGGAUGGUGGAUUUCACAUCCAAUGCUAAUUUGAGGGCUUCAAAUGUGUGCGUGUGUACAAGCACACACGUGCACUUUUUUACAUAUGCUCAGCAUCAUCUGUCAGACCCUGUAGAUAAAAUAGCACCUCCAUGUGCCUGUCAGAAAAAUGCGUUUGACUUUCAGGCAUUGUUUUCAUUAAACCAGGAUCAGGACCUGGCCACAGACUCCAAAGUGUGAAUGGAAACAAUUUCCCUGUGCAGGAAUCUCAGCUGACGUGCAGCUGCUAAGAGCUGCGUUCCUCUCGGUUAUGUCUUCCCUGAAACCAUAAAUAGUCCCCAAAGCCAAUGCAAAGCUCACCCUGCAGCGCUGCGUGGUGCUGUGUCCUCCUUCCCAGGCUAACUUUGCAUGUCUCACCUGUGUGAUUUUUCUCCCACGUGGGGCAGAGCCUGGCCCUUAUAUACUUGUGCAGUCUUGACUAUGGUUUUACUUUGGGUUGUUGGCCUUGUACAUGCUCCUGCACUCCGAGCAUUCAGCAAUCAUGAAGAGCAAUGGCGAGAGCACACCCUACGUGUCACUCCAUGGUAUCCUUCAGUGUACUUUUCUCUCUUUAGGGAUUUUGCUUUUCCAACGUGCUCACCCCUUACUUCCCCUCCUGGCGCUAUUGAAAUAAACGGGAAUUUUUUGAAAAUCAAAGCUGGGUUAAUGACUAAGGGUUUUUUAAAGAUGGAGCAGUUGAAGCAGUGAUUAUUGGGGCAGGAGGAAAUCUCCUGCAGGUAUUAGUCUUACAGGACGGCAUGCCAAAGGUUACUAUGGUGCUUGCGAUGUGGAACGAUGAUGAAAUACUAUGGGAAAAGCAAGUCCCCCAGCUACAAUGUAUGCAUUUGGUGGUCAUGGCUAUGCACCAGUUGUGAUCAAUGGGUGUAAAGGCAGGGUCAGGGCUGCAGCAGCCGGAGAUGCUGGUGCUUUGCAAUCUAGCUGGGCCCCAACCAAGGGGCUGAGUUUCCACAAUUCAUUUAUCAUAAACCAGCAAUUUGCAAAUGUUAGCACUUUUCCCACACAUCAUGAGCCCUGAUGGACUUUAAUAAAAGAGAGAGAGAGAAAGAAAGGGAAGGAGAGAGAGAAUACCUACAUAAUUAGCUAAAGUUCUCAGAAUGGCUUUAAUUGGGAAAAUGUUACCUUUCUGGAAAUAAUUGCUAUAGAGAUUUUCAUUUGUUUUCUAGGUUCUGGUUUUUUUACGUUGGUUUCACAUCUGCUAAUUAACCAGUUGUCUCUGUUAAAGAGUUUUUGCACCUCUCUUUUACCCUCAAGACAGCACAUUUUCCAGUUUGCUUGAUUCUGGUAGUCACAAAAAUUAGAAUACUUGCAUUAAUUUGGUUUUCACACUGUUUUUAAGCUAAAGGCCUCUAAAGGGGAGGGAUAACAAAGAAAAAUAAAGGGUAAACAAAUCUUGAAAACAGAUGAGAGUGAGAGUUUAGGAAAAACAAAACAAAACAAAACAAAAAAAACUAUCUGGCAGAGAUGCUUGUGGGGUACAUGGGCAGACAUCACUCAUCUCAUUGAGACGCCUCUGAGCUCUGAGAAGUCCUGCUGUGGGGCUGGACUUCCUCCAGUCCGCAGAAAGGUAACCGUGGCUGAAAGAAUGAAGUCUAUGGAUGGAGGGAGGAACAAGAGUUGACACUUUUAGCUAAUACCGGUGAUAACAUCACUUUAACAUGAUUUUCUAGGGAUCUUUUUUCUCUAGAUGAGUAUCUUUCUUCCCAGAGUGGGCAAUAACAGAGACUUCAAUGACAGGGAUAAAAUAUUCAGAGCUGAAUAUCUGUGAUUAUCAGAUUUUCUCCCAGUGUUGUAGGAAGGAGUUGUUCCUGUCACAGAGAGCAGAAAUCAGAGGGUUUAGAUCUCUUUGAUUUGUUUAUUCCAUCUCAUGCAGUUUUGCUACCUUGUCUACCUGUCUGCAUUCCUACACUGUUGUUUAAUGCUAAUUAACAGAUCAGCAUGAACAUGUUCUGCAAUUCUCAGAGAUCCCUCCUCUGGUGCAUUUCUCUCUUCUUAGCCAAUCUCACAAUACUUUAGCAACUUUCCAUUCCACAUAUAACAUGUGUUCCAAAGAACAAAUCCAUUGCUGAUAAGAACAGCUAUCAUUUUCUAACUCGUAGGUGCAACAGCAGCAUCAUCUAUCAGAAACAAGAGGAGGGACUGGGGGUAAAAAAUGCCCUUAAAACAUCAGAUGCACCUAUUCAUCUAAUAAAUUUCUUCUUCUAAAAACCCCAAAGAACCACAUUGGCCUGGUGAUGAUAUCAUAGCCAAUCUCUGCCUUUACGGUUUAUGACAUCAUCAAAACCCCUCGAUGAUGUUAUAUGCUUGUGCAUCGAUGCUACCUAUCACUUUCUCCUUACAUUAUGCAUCAAACUGCUCAGAAGAGCCCACGUUUAACCAUCUAACCAUUUCACAGGUGACAGGUGGCAGAAAGCUGCAAGAAAAUGAACUGUGAGAUGUAUAAUUUUCCACUGCAUAUUGAGAUAAAAUGGAGCCUGAAAGAGAACCUGUCUUUAGACUAAUGACAAAGCAUCCAACACAGGGCAUCCAACUGUCCAGAUUUCCUCCAUCGUGUCCAGUGAUUUCUGCUCUGAAUCACCCUCUGGAAGAGCCCCCAUCAGCACACAAUUGCACCCCUGGAGACUUCACUGCCAGGUUAUGUAGCAGUCCCACAAAAUGGCAUCACCUUGCAGCAGACCUGCAGUAGUUAAGCACAAAAUGAAGCAGUGGAGCACUCUUGAUGGCUACAGCACACACCACAGCCCCUGCCAGAAAAUGAUGUGGUGUGAAGCCGACAACUGUCACCUUUUUAACCCACAGUUUGGUUCUAGUGUUCUAUACUCAGAAAAUGUCUGUUCAAGGCCCAGAAUAUUGAGUGGCUUGCUGAUGCAUUCCUUCCCACAUAUACAAACCUGGGCUUUGUUUGUUUUAUUGCUUGCUCUCAUUUCCAAGCCUGCAGCAUACGUGCUUCCCUGCAGUGGGAAGGGCUUAGAGGAAGUCCAUCCUGCAAAAAACACACUCCCUAAGUUGUUGCUUGAUUCUAGGAUCCACAGUUAGAAAACAAACCAAAACAUGGAGGCAGCAGAUGAAACCUCAACUACUGGUAAUGCUGAUGCUUCCUAUGGAAUUCUCCAAGCUGCAAGUGUCUCGUAGCCAAAUCCCUCUGACAAAUCGGUGCCUGUGUGGGUAAUAUCAGCACUGUGCUCAAGCAUCUUCCCUACCUUCUUUCCAGCUCAGGCAAUGGCCUGAGGUGGUGCUGGCUGUGAAAUGAGCCCCCAUCACAUAGUAGCUGAGCAAUGCAUAUCUCCUAGCGCAUUUUGUUCCCUUUAACGCAUUUCUUCUUUUUCUUUUCAUGACCUGCUGCCAAAAUCUCUUUGCUAAGGUUUCUGCCACCAUCGGCACCACACAAGAAAAGUGUCUUUGUUAACACAUUUAGGACCUGCUUUUAAUUUCUACAGUAUUCCCUUUAAUAACAAUGUCUAAUUAAAACAUCUGUUAAAAAGUCUGUAACAUUAACUUUACAGGGAGAAUUUAAUAGAAUUAUAUUUGAAUUGCAGCCAUUUAACGGUUUUCCUAAUUAGGCUGUUGAGUUUUUAUUUUUUUAACAAAAACAUUACACAAAUUAAAAUCAGGCCCAGUUUUUUUUUAUUAUUAUUAUUACAACAUAGACUGUGGUCAAAAAAAGGCCGGCAGUAUGUGAUGGUGUGUAAAGGGUGGAAAAAAAAACACACUAGCAGCCUGUGACUGAAACGCUAAAAUGCACAAAAUUAAACAAAUAAGAGAAGAUAUUUGAAAGGGGGAGGAGAAGAAGAGAGAAAAGAAAUUUCUCUGGCCUGUUAUUUGCAUGCUUUCCUUGAACACAAAUCCUUCCAAGUAUCUCCCCGUUGCUCUGUCUCCAGCCCCUGCCACCAUUCACUUCUCCUGGCUCUCACCUGUUUGGACCUUGUCUGAAUCUGGGAGCAAAAGACAUUGUAAAGAAGCCUCAGCAACCUGGGGAAAAAAAUAAAAAAUAAAAAAGGAUUUAUGCUAGAUUUGUGUUUGUCCACAUCCCAGAAGCUUGAGUCAAGACCUUUCCUGUCUGCAUUUCACAAUAUUGAGUGUGUUGGAAGACACUUUUGAGGCUCGCUUCUCCGGAGAGCUUUCCCAAGGUAUUCCCUGCUCUCAGGGCUGCAGACAGGUAACACAUAGCUCCAUGAUGCUUUAAGUUUCUUCCUUCACCAUGGGAAAAAACUAUCACUUGCCUAGCACAGUGGGAGCCAGACCCUCACAGAGUUAUGCAUGAUUGUGCCAGUCCAUAAAGAUGCCAGGUAUGCAGAGAUGUUGCAUGAACAUUAACUAUGCCAUUUCUUUGCAGAAAAGAAAUCUUUCUUUCCUCUGCAAAUGGUGCUUUUUGUGCUCUAAGAUGUUGUGUCUGUUUGCCUAUAAGAGCUCUAGCAGUCAUAUUUGGCAUAUGUACAGAAAUACAUAACCUUCAAAAGAUUCUAUGAUUCUAUGAUCUUCACUAGAAGCUGCAUUGUUAAACUUUUGAAGGCAAAGAUUUGCAGACAUUUUUAAAUAGGAGGAACUCUGGUUCAAGAUUUUAGUUGGAGAGGAGCUAGAACUUUAAAUUUGUGGGAAAACCUCUGCUGUUCCUUUUUUUCACUGUUCUAAGCCAAAACAAAAAGGAAAAAAUUAUACAUAUCCCAGGAAGAGCAUUUACAGUAAUUACUUUUAUAUCACACAUUAUAGCUCAUAAUUUACUCACACUUGUAUGAGGUAUUUCUCAACUGAGACUAUGCAUUUUACAGAGAAGUCUGGUGAUUUUUCACUGAUCCAGUGUCAUUUUUGUGCUGAGAAUGAGCUGCAAGAUAACACUACAGUUUCGCUCUUCAGCAUAAAUAUUUCAUGUAGCUCUCAGCAGAUGCUAAAGUUAGUGCCUGUACAAACAACUCAGAUGAAAUCCUGGCCUCCAAGUUGUCAGUGACAAAACUCUUAUUGACUUCAGUAAAGCCAAGACUUCAUCUUUGGUCUUUAAAUUGAACUUAAAUUUGUAGCGACCACUGGCAAGGGGAAACCCACUUCAAAGGAACGCUCUGACAGUUGGACAUUUCUCUCCCACUGAUCUAAACUGUAGUAAUCUCAUUUUGUUUCCCAAGCUAGCUUGGAAAUCACGUUGAGAGAAGUUCAUCAAAAUAGUUCUUUUGUUCUACUGUUUUCUAGCAAAUCCAAUGAAGCAACUUCCCUCAAGGAAUUUUCUGUACCACAAAGGCCAACCUCAAAAACAAAGAGCAAGUCUAGUAGGAAAAAAAUAACAACAAAACAUUCAUGCAUAGAGAUUAAGAAAUACAUUAGCAUCCUUCAGAGUCCCAGGGCAUUGGUGAGUCUUUGAUCUCUUCUUAGCUCUGCCAUACUGCGUUGCAUUUGUGGCUUUUGGACUCACAACACAAAUCAUAGUCUCUUUAGGGCUCAUGGCCUGUGGAGACCACGUGGAAGGCAAAUAUCUGGACAAUCCUGGACCAAACAUCUAUUUUUCUGUAGCUAUGAGGGGCUUAUCUUCAUUACCAAAUAAUCUAUUUCAGGCCUGUGUUUCUUCCUUCCACCAUUCUGCACACUGUUUCUUGAUAAAACACUGAACUGAAUCCAAUUGCAAAUUCCAAAGCCAGAGUUCAAGCGAUGGACUCUGUUUUCUACAAUAACAUUAAAAAUCCAACCAGCUCCUACUGUGACUUAUGAAGUUCCUUGAAGGGAAUCCUCCAAAACUGCCUUUCUGCACAAGGAGGAUCAAAAGGUGCUAGAUGAUUCCGCCUGGUCAAUGUUUGUGGUCGCCAGAACUCUACAAAUGCCCUGUCCAAAAAUGAGCUCGAAGGAGCUCUGCAGGGGAGCUGUACACAGGUAGAAGCAUGUACACCGGAGAAGCAUGGUCAACAUGCUUUCUGUGUACUUAAAACCUCAAGGAAUAAAGUUGUUUAGGAACAAAUCCUUGAGAAUCUGCUCGGUUAUUGGUGAGGAGAGGACAUUUUGGUAGUUUCAAAUGGCAUUACACAUUUGUGGAAUAGAAAUUACAGUUCAAUGUGUGGGCAUACUUGAUUGGACAAUCUCUCAGUUGAUGGGUUCUUCUGUUCAAUUACUAUUAAAAUUCAUCAAAUGGAACAGAGUGGUUUUAAUGCCUGUAAUUGUUGUAGAAAAUGCUCUGUAAUUGGUCUUACAAAUGAAGCUGAAGAGCAAGAUCAAACUCCAUUGAAAAUGAAUCUGUCUUUCCACUGAAGAGUUCAAGAGUCACUUUUAAAAUCCAUUUUGCAGGAAGGUGUUUAGCCAGUCUCAACUCCUGUUCAUUUUGUGUGGCAGUUUUUAUUUGCUUCUUUUGGCCUCUGAUACGUAAAUGAAAUCACCAGCUCCUGAACUUGGCUCCAUGUUCUCCCCUGCCUUGUAAAUUCAAAGGAAGGGCAGUGUUACAGGCAAUGAACAGCAGACCAACUCCAAAGGCAACUCAGGUGCAUUUGGGAAGUCUGGCACUGGGAUGAAGUGAAGAGACUGCAGGUUAGAGCCGUGCUGCCUCUGGUGGAGGAGCCAGAUCCUGAAGUUUUGCCCCUUCGGCAAAUCUUGCAAACCUCUGCCUCUUGCUUUUUAUGGGUGGAGGGGAGUUAUAUUUAGCCUUGUCAGAUGAAAUGAGAGGCAAUCUAAGAGCAGGGAACAAGCAGACAGUGAGAAUUUAAGAUACUUUUGCCACAAAAAGCACUGUCACCUGGAACUCUACUGUUAGCGAAGAAAGUGGGAAAGCAAGCAGGAUACUUAGUCAAUUUUCAGAGCAUCAGUCUAAUUGCAUGUUCCACAGAGUUCAGUGAACACUUGAAUCAAAAGUAUCCUACAUUUUCACUUAAAUAUUUUCCUGCACAUCAAAUGCCUCCCUCAAAUACGGAAAACAUGGAUGCAAGUCUGCUAGACUGCCAUUCAGUUCCUUGGUAUCCCCAACCACUGGACCCACCAUCUCAGGAACCAGUAUUUACUUCUCCAUUUCUUUCUCUCACCUCUUAAAGACUCCAUACAACAACUUCUGUUCAGCAACUUUCUAUAACUGCCUUCUCUCUGCCCCUAGCUCUCACCCCAGCUUAAAACUUCCUGCUUGUCACCAUCCAUUCUGGAAAACACAGCUUAUUGUUCAUACCGCUUCUGUCAGGUCUUUUCUGCUUUGUCUACUUUGAAAGAAUUAAAAAGGGAGCUCAGAGGGGAUAAUUCUCUUUGUACAGUGAGUCGAGAGCUUUCCAUGGCACCUCCUCUCAUGAAAUGAAGUGAUGGCUGCGGAAGAAGAGGAAAACAGAUCUUAAACUGAAAACAGCUAUGUUACCACCCCCAAAGCAGUUUAAAAUCCCUCUCCAUGUUCCUGAUUUGUUACCAGAGCAUGCUAUUCAUGCACAUGCAGGCUGUCAUCAUUAGUCUGCACAUGUGAAAGAAGUUCUGUGCAGCAGUUCCUGAGGAAAAAAAGAGAAACUGUGCAAAAGCACCACAAUUAAGUAUAAACCCAGGCAUGCCUACAAGCAGGUAGCUGCAGGAAAGUGACUGGUUCUAAUUAAACUCCAAACAUAAAUAGAAAGACCAGAAUUUCAAAUAGCACCUAACAAAAUUAAGAAAAGGUCACAGACAUGGUAGUAUUUUUUAAAACCUACCAGCUCUGUUUAUGAAAACAGAUUACUUGUGAUUGUGAUUACUUGGUACACAUUCAGCACUAACUGGCUCACAGUUUUGUUGUGUAUUUAUGUACUUUGUAAAGUGUCUGUGAAGCAUCAGGAAAGGCCCUAAGUCUGCCCACAGAGCCACAGGUGGCCAAGUCUGUUCCACCACAAACUUCUGCAGGGGAUGAGCAACGUGAGAGGCAGCAGAGGGUGCUGGGUUUGUUAGGCCCAGAGCAGGGGAGGCUGAGGGGAGGCCUCAUGGCGGCCUGCAGCUCUAUCAUGGAGGCCUGCAGCUCCACCAUGGUGACCUGCAGCUCCUCACAGAGAGCAGAAGGGCAAAAGGGCUCUGAGCUCUGCUCUCUGGGGACAGCAAGAGGGCCUGAGGGAACAGCAUGGAGCUGUAUCCAGAAGGCUCAGGGGGGUUAGGGAAAGGUUCUGCCCCAGAGGGCAGUUGGUUUGGAACAGGCCGCCCAGCAGGUGUGUCAGCAGGUGUGAUGAGAAGCACCUGUGUGUCAUUAGGGUCACACAACCCUGCUCCUUCAGCCCUUCUGUGGGGGAGAUUUCUGUUUGCUUCCUAGCCAAAGGUUUGUUCUGUGCUCAGGAGGCAUUCAUGGCCCUUCUUGGGUUAUUUCUUUUCACCAGAAAUCAAAAGAAUUUUCUUCAAUUUCAGCUGAAAGCAAUUCCAUAUUUAGGUGGGAAAGGGCACUUGUCUGUGGUAAAGGUGCCUUGCUAUGAAAGAUGUGAUUUAACUAAAGUUUAAUUAUGUGUUGAAGCAGCCAUUCUGAUUGCAAUGUUUAGGCUGUAUUAGUAAUUUUUUCUAGUUUGUGACAAUUAUGCCUCUUUGUAGCCACAAGUAGUUUCAAAUUCUUUUUACUCAUUCAUUAAAAAUAAACCUGAAUUUCUUCAGCAAUUAGUAGUUACUAAGGAAAAAAUAUGUAUAUAUCAAUGUUGAUAGUCACCUGUGAAUCAGCACCCAGAGAGCUGUUUGGAGCAGGCAGCAUUGCUGCUGUUUGCUGUUCUGCCUGUAGCUAAGCAGCAAGCUGAGAAUUGUUUUAGCUGAGCUCUGAAGGAUAUUGCAGCUUGCCUCGUGCAGGCUGGUAGGUGGAAUGCUGGUAUUACAAAUGUGAAGAUGAAUAGAUAUCUUUGGAUCAAAAUGCGGCUUCAAAGUCAAACAAAAAUUACAGACCCGUUUGAGUCUAUUGUAAUGACAAUAACAACAGAAGGAGGAAGAUAAAGGUCUUGAGCAGGGAGUUUUGGGGGAAGCAGGAGAUUGCUAGAAACAGUUUCUGAGAUCGAUUGAUUUGAAUAAUACUCUUGGGCACAGAGAACAUAGAGAGGUAAUGCCUGAAAAGAAUAAAUCAAAUAUCUCAUGGCAUUUUAUGCAUUCAUUCCUCUCCUGGACUCUGUUUUUAGUUUUCAAAAAUAUGAACGAUUCCAGGCAAGCAGAGAAUGGCCUGUAUAUUUCCCACCGUGAUGAAUAGUUGCAUGUUAGCCUGUUCAUUUAAUGACAGCUAUGUAUAGUUCCCAUAAUAAAUCAGACUCCAGGACACAAAUGCCUUCUGUUUACCUUUGAAGCACUUUUUUUUUUCUUUCCCUGAGAAUUGUGAUUGUUGCAAAAGCCUGAUGUAUCCACCCACACAGCAGCACCCAAACAGCUUGUUACUUGCAGGUUUCAGUCCUGCAAGGUCCUUAGUCCUCCCAGUGCCGCAUGAUGCCCCAAGGCACCCGUGUCUUGCAGGACCUAAGCCUGCACAGGCUGCAGAAAAUGGACUCAGCCCACUGUGAGCAGUUAAGGGGAAAGUUCAGUCUGCACUUUGCAUGAAAAGUCUUGUUUUAAUCUGACUCUCGGUCAAUUAGUUUGAUCAUUACAUUAUAAACACUUGUCAUCUUUUGUAACAUGUGCCUUUGAAAAGCAAUGCUUGAACUUCUCAGCCCCUGAAAUCGCAUAUUUUUAACCAGAAGUUACACUAUGACUUCUCUGUACAAUAAUUAACCGAUAUGUUUCUUGACAUACAUAUACUGAAAUUCUCUUUGAUUUUAAAAAUCAGCAAUAUUGAAAGAUGCACACUUUAAGUCACUCUAUGCCAUCUUAAGUUACUGUGACUUCUAGAUAGCUUGUAUAACACUAAUCAUCAUCUAAUAAGAACACCUGACUCAUACCUGCCGGAUGAGAAGCGGGUGAGAUGCAUUCUUGCACUGCUCCAGCCCCAAAACAUUAUGCUCAAGAGAAAAGAGGGCAAUUUCUAUCUGUUUUUAUUUAUUUUGGGAAAACUUUCCAUGCAAAUAAAUGUAGCACAAAGUAUUGAGAACUGCCAAAAGACAUACAGAUUAUGUAUAUUUUUAUAGCCACAAAGUCACUCAAAUGACUUUGCUUCCAUUUCAUUGUUUGGCAUAGAUCACUUAUUGUGCAUAUGUUUUCAGAUGGAAAUGCUGAAUUAGACUAUGGCAAAAUGGAUAAUGCAGCCCUAAUGCUAGCAUGAGCUAAUAAGAAACCAGCAAUGAAUCUACUGCUGCAGAUUGAAGUACAUGCAUUUCAUAUUAUUACUCAAGGCUUGUCUCUCCGAUUAGAUGAUUGCAUAACCUUAAUAUUAUAAAUCUUGCAUGAUGUGAAUUGUUCAGCUGUAACCAUAAUCAGUUUUUACUAAGGUGGCAUUUCUGUCAUCUUGUUAAACACAAACGUUAUAUAUGCGCUAGUCAUAAUUUUAUAACAGUUGCUUUUAGCAAGAGACGGUUUUGUCGGUCGGGAGCCGCAGUUUAGUGCAGAGAUGCAAUGAAAGUGCUUAAGUUGCUCAUAAUGUCAGUGUUUGCUUCAGAAAAUAUCACUUUGUAGAUUCUUUCAUUUUCUGAGUGCAAAUUUCUCUUCAAAAGAAAUGGAAAAACUUGCAAGCUCUUAGCCAGAACUCUCUGAAAACCACUUUUCAGAUCUACUGAGACCCAGGUUUAUUUAAUCAAGUGGAAGCUGCAUGCUCUGCAGAAGCUGCGGCACCCUGUGGACCUUCUCCAGCGCUGCGACUCAGCUUGGAGAGCCCCAGUUAUUUCAACCCCUUUUUCCACAGAGGAAACACAGUCGAUCUCCUCGUCUGUAAAUUACCGCUGGCAGGGCUUUAUGGGGAUGCCACUGCCACCAACAUUUAAGGGUUUAAGACCCCCCUAUAAACCUCAGCAAGGUUCUCCUCUCCUAUCAAUUCACCAGGGAUUUGUGCAGUUAAAUCUCACAGCGGGUAAUAAAUUUCCUGGCACAUCAUGGGAUGAAGGGGACCCGACUGGCACUGAUCUCGGUGGGUUGAGUCCAGCUUAUCUCCUUGACAAAUUUAUUGCCUUCAUCACGUGCUCUGGAGAGAAAAAGCCAAAUCCCUGCCUUGUAAUGGACACUUUCCUAUUUUUUACUGUAGAUCUUGCAUUGAGAUAGGCCUUAACAAAGAAGAACAUGCUGAAGAGAUAAGAACAAUUCAGGCAGUUCCAUGUGCUGUAAUGUGCAGAAAGCCCAGAGACUGCAUAACCAGGGCCGUGGGAUUACAAAAGAAGAGUUACAAGCUCUCCUCAGCUCCCUGGCUUAUAAUAAAUCUAAUCAAGGGAGAUUUCUUGUUGGUCUUAAUGGCAGUGAAAACAGUCCUAUACUCAGUAAUUUCAUACUCAAAUCACAUCUUAGGUCUAAGCUAGUAGAAAAUCUAAGGCCAAAUAACUUUUAUCAGAUGAUCUGUUGACAUGAUUUUCUUAUAGGAGUUAUAAAACAAUCAGUGCAGUGGCCUGUUUGGAACAAAAGAGUUGUUUCUGUUUUGAGCAUGUUUAGUAUCACUGGCACACUUGUCGGUGUAGAAAUCAGUGUCUUCAGAGACAACUACCAGGCGUGAGGCAAAGGUAAGGGGGGGAACACCAGAACUAGAAGAUUUGACCGCACAGUGCCCCUGCACAUAAGAAUUGAGAGAGAUAAAAUUACCCUGGGACUCCCUGGCUGCUCACAGCCCAACCAAGGUUGUGCCAAUAAAGGUUCAUAUAUCCACCAGCCAUUCCAAAGUCACUUGUGCAAAUCAGAGGUUUUUCUGGCAGCUGCUUGCUCUCAGCCUGUAGCUCCUGCUACAGUAAGAACUGCAGAGCCUUGUUGGACAGUUAUUAUCUGUAUGGUCCAGAGAACGACCUGCAGAAGCCUCCAGCUCCCAAAGCUUCUAAACACUGGGCAAGUCCAAGCUCACACCCUAAAUUCCAUACUCAGGUCUUACUGGAGCUUUAUUUCACAAGCCCAUGAGGGGGAGGGAGGGGUGGCUUGUGUGGCCACUGGUCCUGCAGUAAACCCCAGCCAGCAAUUUCUCUGCAAAGUUUGCUGUGCUGAAACCCUGACUGACACUGGGGUGGAUUUCUAACAUGGCUGAGAGGAAAAGAUAGUUUUUAAUAUCAGUUUAAAAAAAAAAAAAAAAAGAAUGUAUGGCUCCUAUAAACUGUUAAAACUUCACUUUAUUGAUCAUAAAUCUGUGUUUUGCUCAAUGCAAAAGUUUUUCAUCUUACACAGAAAAAUGCUGAAACAGCUACAAAUGCCAAAAACACAAAGUUUUCUCUCUUGGACAAUUUAUAGGGAAGUUAUUGGAUUUUUUGUUGUUGUUGUUUAAAAGCAUUCUUACCACACUGCUUGCCCACUGGUUUGGAGAAAUUGCCUUUCAUUGCCAAGCUUUGUCCCUGACCUUCUCUGAUAGGAAGAGACCUGAAAAAUAAAGCUAGCCUCUUUUACAUACUGCUGGAGUUGAAAGGGUUGAAUAGGAUGAGAAGUACAAGCAAUGGGAAUGAGGGUUCAGUACAAUCAGGGAAGGACAUAUGCUAUUGCAAACGUACUGCUGAACAGGCAGCAAAACUGCUGUAGAGCACAGAGCUCACUGCAGACAGAAAACCCUGUGCCCAGCUUUAUCCCAUGGUCCACUCCCCAAACCACUUCAAAACACGAUGCUAUCAGUGCAGGACCACCAGGCACCCCAUGGGGAACUGUUCUGGGAGUGAACGUGGCCCUGGGGUACAUCCCCAUGCUCAGUGGCUCUGGGCACAGGCCCAUCUGUAUCCCAGUCCCUCCAUCUACAAGUGGGGUAAUGCACCUUGGGACCGAGAGAUUAACAGCCCUGUUUUGGUAUUAAUGAUCUGCAAGGACUGGGAAGGUGCCAAGCAGGGGAAAGAAAUCUUGAUUUAUGAAUAGUAAAACACAAAACUGGAAGGAAAAAAUAGAGCAUUCUAGACCAACCGAGGGUGGUAUUGAGACAGGGGAGCUUUACCCUCUGAAACAUGUAUUUAACAUGGGUAAUCUUUACAGAAUUGUAGAAUAUCCCGAGUUGAAAGGGACCCACAAGGAUCACCAAGCCCAACACUCAGCUCCAGAUAGGAACACCCAAACCCACACCCUACAUCUAAGAGUGGUAUCCCAACGCUCCCUGAGCUCCGGCAGCUCGGGGGAGGAGCAAUAGGAUAAAGUUUUCUGUUUUUCUUUUUUUUUUCUUUUGCAUCCAAUUAUUGCAAAUCAUAUGAAUUAUGCUUUUUUCAGUUGUAACCUGGAAGCCCCCUUUCUUCUGCUUGUUCUCCAUCAUGUUGUACAUCAGCUCUCUGUGCUUCCCUACAGUGGUCAGCACCUCCGUCGAGAUAAUGGACUGGAUCAUCACCUGGACAGCAUUUCUCUUCAGUCAUAAAUCAUGAUGGGAAUACUGUAAACAAAAGCCAUGAAAUAUGAACCCACAUAAAUAAAGGAAGGGAAGGACUGCAUUGCCUGGGGAAAUCUGUGCAAAGAAGUUGGGGGGGGAGCAGGGGGGAGACUUGCACUGUCAGAGGAACCUCAACAAAUGCAUAUCCUGAUUUUAAAGUUUAACUGUUACUAUAAUUAUUAAGAUUGGCCUGCUCAUGUGUCUCACAGGAAGCGGCUUUGUUCUCCUUUCUGCUAAUUUCACGUGUUUUCUGUUCCUCUUGGGCUUUACUUUUAUUUCUGUGCUUUUCCCACUUCUAGUAUUUCUGUCUACAAAUACCUUUGUUAUUUCAUCAUCCUUCCCAGCACACAUGGUCACCAACUCUUGGACAGUUUCUUCUUCCUUUGCUUCUGUUCUGCUAAAUUCACAUACUUCUCGGUACCAAGCUGAGACCUCCAGACAGCUCCUGCAGCAAAAGAUAUGGGUCACGCAAGUCUUGAGCUUUAGCUGUCAUUCUUGUUCCAAAACUGGGAUACAAGCACAUCAGCAUGCUUCAUUAAACCCAAAAUGUCAAAUCAUCCUUCACAACCACCAAGCCCUCACGAAUAUGAGCAGCUCUGUGGUUUUGGAGAAUUUUGUGAUAAAGGACACAGCAUUUAGCAGAUGGUACUAUUAGGAGGAAAAGUAAAAAAAAAAAGGAGGAGGGAAGAAGAAUGUUAAAAAAUGUGAAAAAAUGAAUAGCCUUGAAGUCCUAGGUGCUGUAGGGAUUCCUUGAUGCUAAAAUUGUUGUUAAUCUUGUAAUGAGAAUUCACUCUUUAUGUUUAUUGAAACAGAGGUGAAAAGGAAGAGAAUGCAUCACUGCUUUACAUCAUAACUGAAGCGAAUCUGCACGUCCAGUCCACUGAGGAGACAGCUCUGUUUUCCUCAGCAUCGCUGCAGACAUACCAGGAAGUCUAAAAUACUUUGGGAAGUAAAAUUUUGAGCAGUUAUUUUAUAUAUGUCAUAUCCAGUGGUUCACCUUGCUGCCCUGAGGCCACUUCCGUAUGACAGCUAAACUGCUGAGUGCUUAUUUAGCCUAAUACUGGCUGCCACUGCUAAUUCCCUAGCCUGUGGGAUCCACUACUUUGUGUUUCAUAGAGCUGAAAGACCCUAUUUUAGAAAAUAGUGUUUGUAUCGAAAACUGAUGCCAGUGCAUCACCACUCCUUCAGAGAAGGACUUGACGAACUCUCGCUUUUAGUGUUUCAUUGAAUGUUUGGCUCAGUUUCCUUCUGACGAGCAAGGAUUUUUGCAUGGGUGUAGUUUUACUUUCUAAAAUAACAAAUGUCUGUCUGUUCGGUGAUGUGCGUGCAUCAGAAGACAGGGUAAAAUAAACAGGCUGAAGGGCUUUGAUUUGCAGCACGGUUAAGCAGUGCAGGUAGAGCUGUGUUUCUUUUGGAUCAGCUGCUUUGCUUCGCCUUUGCAGUGCACUUCAUAAAUGCUGCAGACGGGUUUUUCAGAGCUUAUAAACUUAGCAGAAAUAAAAAGAACUAAGGGGCCUGACAGCUGAGAGAACUUUAUAAGUGCCACUGAAAGCCAGUAGGUCCCCAGCUCCUGGGGAGUAUAUCAGAGCCCUUGCAGGGUUUAUAAAUUCUGCUUAUUUACUGGCAGGUUUCCAUCCUGGUCAUAAAAGCCAUAGGUCAAAAAGCUCUGUUAGAUGGGGAACACGAAACCCAGCUUUCAUUUAACUCCAGCUUCUUGCACAAGGCUGUGUAGCUCAUCAGUGCAACUGUGGUGUACAGCCCUAAAUGUCACUGGGAGCCCAACUGAGGACAAGUGUCCACAGCUCCUGGCUUUGUGUAGAGCAGAUCCCUGAAGAAGUGAGCUCCCGUUCAGGCUCUAUUUAUAUCAGUCUUUGCUCCUUACAAUAGGGGAAACCCUAAAGGUUUGCUCAGGAGGGGUUUUGUCCCAGUUCAUCUUAACCCACCUCCAGGGCUGCUCCGAGCCCCUGGGGUGUGAAUCGAUCUGCUGUUUCCUUCUCCUUCAUGCACCCAUCUCCAUCUCAGAAAAUCUGGGCUCAUGAAUAGACCAAUUUGUCCACAGGAGCCCAAGCAGCUCCUCCCCUGCUCCACAUCCCUCAGCACUGCUAUGGGCAGGAAGAGGAGGAAUCACCAGAUCACAUCAGGUUCCUUCUAAGUAUCGCAGUCCUGGCUCAGCUCCACCCCAGCUGACAAGCUGCUUUAAUGGAUAGGCAGUGGCCUUCAGUGGAGGGGCUAAAUGUAAAACUUUCCUCUGCUUCUCUUGUCAAAGUUAAAAGCUUUUCAUGCCUGUGUUAAUGUUUCCUUUUUUUUUUUUUCCCUCCUGUCUGCUGGCACCAAUGACAAAUACUACAUCUUGCAUUGAGUAACAGUAUAUUGAAUGGCUGGCAGAGGCAGAAUACGGCACCUGUAAUUUAUCUCCGGGAGUUUGGGUUGGAUGACACUGCUGGGAACAGACCGGGGCUCUGAGCUGUCACCUGAUUACUAAUUCUAGGAUUUCUCCUCCGAGAGUGAGAAGGAGUGAGCUAGGAUGAAGGGUACAAAAAGCAAAUCAAUAAACAGACAAAGUCAUCUUUGCAGAGGUUCCUUAGGAGAGCCCCUGGCAUUUCCCCUUCCCUGACAAUGGGUCAUACCUCUACGGGUAAUGGACAGUGGGUCUUCAUGCUUUCCACAAGUGACAAACAACUGAGCAGCUCCGAGCACUACAAAUGAACAUGUGAUCAAGUGUUUCUGCUUAAAUUACCAAUAAAAUGCUAAAUCUGUGACAGAGUAAAUUGGCUGAAGAUGAAUCCCCCUGACUCCUGUCUGUGCUGCUGCUUUUUCAAAUGAAAACCCUCAUAAAGAAAUUAAGCUGGUUGAAAGGAAAAGCACCUAAAUUCGCAUAGCUUGCAUGGUGGAGGGUUUCCCAGAUUGCUCCAUCAUCUGGAUCAGACCCUUCUUCAGGAAUACUCUGCUGCUUCUUUUUUGUUUGUUUGUUUUUAAAAGGUUCCCACAGGCACACUUCUGAUGGUGCUUCAAUCUCCCUAAUAACUGUUUCUGCCCAGUGCUGCUGCCAGGAGAAGGGACCCAGAGGCUGAGGGCAGCACACACAUGCUCAGACUUGAGGGCUGCUCGCUGCCCUGUAGGUGUGAGGCUGAUGGCAAAACGCUGCUCACUGCUUUCAUCUUUCCAAACUGCAUCUUCAUCACCUGUCCUCCGGGCAGACAUCUGAUAUAGGCUAAGUCUCCUGGCCCCCAGAAUGAAAGGGUCCAUGCUGGGAUCACCUAAAUCAAUUGGACUUUGCCACAAGAGAAUCACAGAAGCAUAGAAUCAUAAAGGUUGGAAAAGAGCGCUGAGAUCAUCAAGCCCAACUGUCAACUCAUCACCACAAUGCCCACUAAACAGUAUCCCUAGAAUGGACUCAAACAAUGCCAGAUGCUUGGAAGUUCCUAGAUAUGUCCUAAAAAUAACCCAGCAAAGAUCUUUCAGAUGGUUCUUGGAGGAAACUUCCAUUCAGAGCAGCUAAAGAGAGAGCCAGCAUAAACUUGGGACAGCAUUUGAGGCUGUUUCUCAAGGAAGGGGUGAGGUUGGUCACCUAGGAGAUAUCUUUGGAGCAUGAGUAGCGCAGCUGCCUUUCUUUGGUCUGUCCCAGACUUACUUAGUUGCCCUCAGCAUCUCAAGACGUUUUUUCAGCUUAGCUUCCUACUGCAAUGUUGGUAGGUUCUGUAUUUAGUACAACCAAUCUUUAAACAUGCAGUAGAGAAGAGAGAGGUAUCUUUCAGUUCUUAACCUCAUUAAAAGCAAGCCCAAGAUCAUAGGGUCAUAGAAUCCCAGGAUCACAGAAUCAUAGAAUAGCUUGGGUUGGAAGGACGUUAAAGAUCAUCACAGCAGAGCUCCCUGAAUUCUUGUCUGUCAGGCAAGGUCCUGUGAUAAGGCCAAGGAUGAGCCCAUUACCACCAGCAUCUCUGGGCUCUGGGAUGAGCUGUGAAGCAUCUGCAAGGGUUUUCCACAUUUUAUGGUUUCCAUCAUCUGCUGGGACCCUAACCCCUGCCCACGCUCACUAGGAAUGGGCAGGAAUUACUGGUUUUGUGGGCAACAGAAGAUGCAGACAUGGUUGUCUGGUUUUACAGUUUGCAAGUGCAGUUAUUAAAAUACUCCAGCACUUGUUCAGCCUCCAGUAACAUGGUUCUCUGUUCUGUGGUGUUAUGUUGUGAUUGAAACCCACGUCAGGUACUAUAACGCUGCCCCAGCUGCUAGAACCAGUGCAAGAACUCAAGAGUUACCACCUGAGAGCGGUCAGUCAUUGGAACAGGCUGCCCAAGGAGUCACCAUCCCUGGAGGUGUUCAAGGAAUUAGGAGAUGGGGCACCAAGGGACAUGGUUAGGGCGCAUGGUGGUUGGGUUGGGGUUGGACUUGAUUAUUUUCGAGGUCUUUUCCAAUAUUAAUGACUCUAUGCUUCUAUGAUUUUAUUAUUAUAUGAACUCAGAUGAAGAUUCCAGAAGUGCCUGUGGGACAACCUGAGGCUGUGCCACCCACAUAUGCCCCACUGCCACUGCCAAGCUCCCCUCUGCAUAGCAUGUUUGUUUGUGCCAUGGAGAUGUCAGCUCAGCCUCCGGGGUUCUGUGAGACUUUCAACGUUAGAAGCUCAAAAAAAUAGAGAAAAUAAAAUAAAAUAAAAUAAAAUAAAAUAAAAUAAACCACACCUAACAAACAAACAAAGUAGCAGCUGCGAAGCCAGCAUUAACGUGUUUAGGUUUGAUUUUGAUUUUUAAAGGGCUAAUGACAAAGGAAAGCUCUGGCUCUGGAGCCUCUCUGCAGAGUUGAGAUCUAAUGCUUCUAGAAGAGGGCAGCCUCAUGAAUUCAGAGCCGCUUGCUUCCUUUAAUGUGCAUCCUAUUGACUAUGGCAAGAACACCCCCCUGCAAGCAUUAAUUGGAGCAAGCGGCGUCUGACAAUUUUUGUUUAAACUGUAGAAGACUCCUCCCUGGUGGGAGAUGUUCAGCAAUCAAAGAGAAGACAAAAAACAACAAAACCUGCACAUGGGCUGGUUGUGCUGCGGAUAACCCAGUGGAGAGCAGCCCUGGAGCUGUGGGUGUAUUUGGACAAGGUGACCUCGCACCGAGCACAUUAGUUGUAUUAUCAGCCUAUAAACUGUCUCGCUGCUUUACGUACCCGUAUGGCCCACAUACUGAAAGAGAAGAUUAGCUUGAUUAUCAAUGGGGGAAUGAGCCAAACAAUUACUUUCAUUAUUGAAUAUCCAAUUAAUUAUUCAAGAGGCCAAUCAAUUAUUCAUAUCUCAUUUAAACUGGGCGGGGGGAGAAGUGUUGCCACUUGGCAGAGAUGUUCACAGCCUCUUCAGAUACAGCAUCAAUUCUGCUGCAACGGGGUGGAAUGAUGGUGGGAGCAAAAGCCAGGCACCCAGAUGAUUUUCCCAGUGGAUGUCCAUUAUUAUUGCCUUGCAGCACCAUCCAGAGUCCCUUCCAGCUCAGCACAAGGUUGGAAAAGACCUCUAAGAUCCCC